CACACACACACAAAAACAAAACAACAACAACAACAACAAAAACUUUUAAGCGGAAGAAAUUAUGACAGCACAUUCGUAUGCUGGGAAUGAUCCAGUAGAGAGUAACAACUUGAUGAUACAAGAGCAGGUGGACAAUUGCUGGAGCAAUGUCUUUAAGUAGGUAAGAAGGAUGGGCUCCAGUGCAUAAGGGGCAGGAUGGGUCUUAGCUAGGAGCCUGAGCUAUUCAACCAUGGCUACAGGAGGAGACACGCUGGGUGUUUGGACAUAGAGACGUAUACGUGGGUUGGAGCACAGGUGCCCACUCUGGCUCAUCAGGCCUCUUGCUGGCAGUUAGUACAUUUGACAGAUGAAAGUGUGGUCCGUGGUUCUUGUGCCAUGUGCACCAGUGUGCUGCAUGAAAGGCCAGCCCUCUCAUUCUCCCCUCAUGGGUACACACAGACAUGGGCUCUUUCCAGGCCUUUCUUCUUGUCCUCACCACUUUCUUUUGGUAACAUAGCAUUACAUUUAUGUCCAUUCUGCAGUUUAAGAAAUCUUGAGCUGAGACCGGCAUAUCCAUUGACAUAAGGUCACACACUGAUAAGUGUUAGAUCAGAGAAAUGAAUAGACAUUUUGACUGUUUCUGGGUUCUUUCACAUCAUUAUCAGGUGUAGCCAAGGAAACAGGGAAGUUUUUCUUCUGAAGAGUCUGAGAUUUGAUGUCCAUUCAGGUGCACAGGGGUGCCUUUACCAGAUGGAGAGGAGCUCCAGGUAAGUACAAUGUGCAGAUGGCCUUUGCCCCAUUUGCUGAGAAGGGGCUUGGAGCGUUGGGGAGCUUCUCUCCUCAUCAUAGCCUUUCAGGGACUGCACUCUGACCACAUUUUCCUGUCUGCCCGUCCUCCUCCAUCAAAGUGGAGUCAGCACUCCACUUUUCCCUUUUGCUCCUUAUAUUUGGGGAGAAGCAGGGUUUAUGUGCACAUUCAGUUGGCCCAAUCAGAGACUUUUUGAAACUGGAAAAAGCCAUUGUAGGACUUCUGGUCGAAUCCUCUCCUUAUCUACUCUACCUUCUUCAUUUGCCUAUGUUGGCAUCUCAGGCACUAUCUACUAUCUACUUCUAGUACUUUCUACCCUCAAAACAGGAAAACAUACACACACGUGUAGGAGCGUACACACACACACACACACACACGCAGAGCUGCUUUGUUCCCUUUUGGAAGGAGCUGUAAGAAAAAUUGUGAGGGUUUAGCCUGAAAACUCUCCCUGCUGUUCCCAGGGCUGUCAUUGCAAUCAUUAUUUGGACCACUGGAGGCGGGGCUUUGGCAUGCAUCUGGCAGUCACUCUAAAAUGCUUUCCCCUCAAAAUCUGCUACUUUAUAUUAGGCAAGCUGUACACUCCAAGUAGUAGGUGUUUUCUGUUACAUAUACAUAGUGUAUUAAGUCUCAGUAGAUGAUUGUCAUGCUAUGGCUAACCAGUCUGAACUCUUAAUUAUAAUGAGGCAUUAUUAAAAAGGUUCAGAGGUACAGAUGGAUGAAAAGGGUGUUUCACGUAUUAUAAUAGGAAUCACUUAAAUAAUAUAUUUAGAUGAAUCUUAAACUCGCCUUACAAACAGAAGUUAAGGUUAAAAAGAAUUUAGAAAAAAUAAAGUUUUAGAGUGUUUGAGAAUGUGUAUAUAAAAUAUUUUCAAAGCCAUAAUAUGGAUGCUCUUAUGGCUCAGAAGCAUGCCUACUAGAACACAUCUCGGAAUGAGAGAUGUUUAAUUCUAUCGCCUUCCAGAAAGUUUUGCAGGAUUUCUCACUUGAAUUUGCUUCCCUUUGCAACCUCUUGUCCUGAAGGCCCCCUUCCUACCUGGAAAUACUGAGGCAUGGGUGUGAUGAGAAUUAAUCAUUUUGAAGAGAAUGAGAUGAUGACUUUAUUAACAUUUCCAUAUAUGCUGAUUGUGUGUGUGGCGGGGUGGGGGCUGGGGUGGAGGCUUAAGGCAAAAGCUAGAAUUAGUCAUAUGAAUUAUGGGCUUGUUUGGAGACUGGGCCGUUCAUGCUCCCAAUCAGUGCCAGUAAAUCCUGCAGACGGCUUCAACACCACUACUCUGUUUCUAUCCCACUCAUAUAAAAUUCCAUGCCAAGGUACAAACCACAAUCCUCCCUUUCUUGGUUUUUCAUGCAAAAACUAUUUUAGAAUAAAUUUAAAUGUCAAACCCUGAAGAACUUUGAAUAGUGGAGGCUUCAGCUCAUUUAGUUCACAGCAUAGCUAAAAAAUUAAAAAAAAAUUAGGACGAAAGUAUUAACAUUUUAGAGGCCUAUAUUUUUCACUGAAUUUCAGUUCCAGAGGAAGACAAAAUUGCUAUGUUGGAAGAUAGGAUGAAAGAAGAAAUACUGAGAAAAGCAUGAAUAUCAACAGCAGCACUUUCAUGCUCAGGAGAAGCCCAGAGGCCCCAUGUGUGAAUAACAUUGCAAUGGCUGCUUUAUGCAGUAUGUAAAUAAACACAGUCCCCACACCGUUUAAAAUAUUCAACACUGACCUACACAGGCCUAGACAUAAAAUGCCAGUCCAGACAGACGUUUGUGAAUAUACACACAUAACACAUUGCAGGAAGAACUUGGUGCCUUUUUCCAAAUAUUUUGUUAUGUACACAUUUCAGAUUAGAAACACUUUUAGUGUUCAUAGUCUGAGCAAUGGAAAACAUUUUUAAUCAGUCCUAGACAGCAGGAAAACUUCCUGCAGGAGUUCUACAAGAUUUAUUCUUCAUUUAACAGAUGUUUAUUUGAAAUUGAAGGCAGGAAGCUAUAUGGUAUGUCUCUAGCUUCAAAGAGCUUAAAAUGUGGCAGAGACCUUUAGGGGAGUUUGGUCAUCAGGGAAUUAAAGAUAACUUUCAUACAGCUAUGUGAGAAAAGUACAAAAUCAUGAAAAACAGAGAAGAGGCCACAAUUAUGAUUCCAAAAUGACAAACUAAAAAAGAACAUCCAGGCAAGAACCAAGAACCAACAAUACCCUGCAUUAAUUAUUCGAGUGUUUCCUGUGUUACAGAAUGUGUUCCAAUGAACUUUGAGAAUCUAAUGCAAGUUAUGGGCCCAGAAUAUCCAUAUAUCCUCAAACAUUUGCCCAAAAUGUCAGGGAUUUUAUGUCCUUGACAAUGUCUGAGUCCAUGGGCGUUGUAUUUUAAAUCUUUUAUAGUUACAUUUGCCAUAGUUAAUGUGUUAUAACUAUUUAUACUCCUGUCUCCUCCAUUAGAGUACAAGCACUUCUAGCACAGGAGUACAUUAUGUUGUAUAUUUUAUCCACACCCCUUUCUGUUUUGCAUUGUGCCUGAUGUGUAGAAGGUAGUAAAAAUGCUGACCACCCACUUGCCUACCUACCUCAGUGUUCAGGUGUUAGGUUAAUGCAGCAUCUUCCAAAUAUUAGUCAUUUGAGUAACACCCUCACAAUUUUUGCAGUAGUUGCUUACCACCUGUAUUAUUUUACAAGAUAAUGGUUUUUGGUGAUAGACAGCAUUAAAUACUAUCAAAUUUCAGAGUUGAGUAUGUUAUUUUCAUUCCAUUUCCUUUUAGCUUAACUCACACCAAGGAGGCAGUCCUAAUUUAGUUUUGGUGUAUCUUUAAUAUCUCUCUGACAUUUGGGGAUCUUCCUUUGGAAGGAACACAGAGGCUUUUGAAGGCAGGAGUAUCUGGCUAGAAGUGAAUAACAUUACUUUGUUUCUUCUUUCAUUGUGGUUAGUUUUAUGGAAAGUGAUAGUAAUUUUCUAUUUAUAGAAGUGAGAAACAUUUUUUUAACACAGACUUAAGUUUUAAAAAAAGAGUUUUAAAGAAAAGCAUCACAUCAGCUAUCUAUUGCUGUGUGGACUACUUCCAAAACAUACUGGUUUAAAAAACAAUGACUUAUUUGGAUUCUGUGAGUUGGCUGGGCUCUGCUAGGCAAUUCUUCUCUCCAUGAGGUCUGCUGGGGUCCUGUGGCUUGAGAGUUUGGUUGAGGCUGGAAGGACCAAAAUAGCUUUAUUCAUUGCUGUGGUCUGAAUGUUGGUGUCCUUUCAAAAUUCAAAUGUUGGAACUCAAGACUCAAUGUGAGAGGUGAGACCUUUAGGAGGCUCUGCCCUCAUGAAUGGAAUUAGUGCCCUUAUAAGAGAGGCUUGAGGGAGCCUGUUUGCCCCUUCUGCUACGUGAAGAUGCAACAGGAAGGCUCCAUUUAGGAAGCAGAGCAAGCCCUCACCAGACACUAAAUCUGCUGGUGCCAUGAUCUUGAACUUCCCUGCCUUCAGAACUGUGAACAGUAGAUUUCUGUUGUUUGUAAAUUACUCAGUCUAAACUAUUUUGUUCCAGGAGCCUAAAUGGACUAAGACACUUGUAUGUCUGGCAACCUAGCUGGGGUGGCCAGAAUGGCUGCAGGUGGUCAAGCCUCUCCCUGUUUAGUGGUAUCUCAUCACUUCCUAGUGAUGAGAGACCACAUGGAGCUUUUUAACAUCAUGGCUGGAUCUAAAGACAGUAAAAAAGAAAAGUACAAAGUCUCUUAAGGUCUAGAUCUAGAAGUCGCAAUGUGUUACUCCUGCUACAUUUUAUUGGUCAAAUCAAGUGACAAGACAAGUCUGGAUUCAAGGGGAGGAGAAAUAGACUCCACACCUUUUUGGGGGUUUAAUGACACAUAUGUUCAGAAAUGGAAAUAAUCUUUGGUAAAGAUUUUACAAACAAUCUACACAAAUUGUUAAGUACAUAGUAGGAUAGGUUGAGCGGAUAUGGCAAAAAUUGUGAGGGUGAUAUUCAAAUGACUAUUUGGAAGAUGCUGUCUUAACAUAACAUCUAAAUAUUGCAGUAGACAGUAAGUUGAUGAUUUUUAGUACCUUAUACAUACUAAGCACAGCAAUAUAAACAAAGGAGUUUUAUGAAAAAGAUAACAUGAUAUAAACUUGCCCUAGAACUUCUUACAUUCUAGUGAAGAAGACAGAUACAUAAAUAAAUAUAACACAAUUACCAUGAUGCAUGUUUCAGUAAAGGGUUUGAAAUAUAGAAUGCUGUCAUUUUAUGUAAAAGUCUGAGUGCAAAUGGAUUUUCUUGGGCCCAUGAUUUGUAGCAGAUCUCAAAAUUUUUAACUGUGAAACCCUAAAAGGACCUAAAAACACUGAAGAGACACGAUGGUGUGAAGCACAGAGAUCAAAGCUACUAACAGUAGUGGUAAGGAAAAGGUUUCACAGAAGUGGUAACAUUUAAAGAUAGGAAAGAGGGAGGAUGGAGGAGGAAGAAUUGGCAUGAGUUGGAUGCCAGUUAGAUGUGGGGAGAUGAGAUGGAUGUAGAGGAAGGAGAAGAAGAAUUAGGAAUGUGGGGGAAUUGAAGAAAGGGAAAGGGGAGCAAGUAAUUAAAGGAUGACAAUUUUCUAGCUGGGGAAAAUGGUAGAUGGUAGAAAAUAUUGGAGGAAGAAUGGGUUUUCUAAGUACACUUUCCAGAAUUCAGUUUUGUCCAAGUUGUGAUUGAGAUGCCCAUGUGAUAAACCAAUAGACAAUUGGGCAUGCAGGUCUGAAACUUGCCUAUCUUGUGCCAGGCACCUUUAUAGGAAUUGCAUAUAGAGCCGUGAAUAUCCUAAAGAUAUUCACAUUCUAGUGAAAGUGAAUACAAAAUACAAAUGUUAUCAGAAUUCUUAGAUUCUAAUGUGGUUGGCGGGGGGGGGAGCAGAGACAAUUCGUGUGUAAAAAAGUCAAUAUAAAUUUUACCCAAUGUUAAAUACUAAGAAUAAAGUAAAUUUAAUUAAUGGGAUAGAGAGGUCUGGGGAAGCUACUUUAUUUAGAGUAGUAUAGAAAUUGAAGGCAGCUUUUUGAACUACAACUUAAAGCUGGGAAGGAGGCCGAGCCUCUUUAGUUUGAUAAGGUAGGACAAUUGUACCAGCAAGAGAUUAACCGUUGUGAUUUAAGCUGGUGUCCCUCAGAUACCACAUCAUUGUGAGGAACUCUUCCCCCAGCACCUCCACCCACAGACAUCUUAAUCUUCCCCGUCUAGCAACAGAACCAUGUGGAGCAGAUAAUGAGUAUAAAUAAAAAUCCAUUCAUGUGUCCAGGACACCAGAGGAAUGGAAACUUCAGGGAGAGAGGAACUAUGAGAGUUAGGAAGAGAAUGUAAAGAAGAAAAUGGCAGGGGGAAGUCACUCACUGACCACUGGUGGGAUGGACAUACAUAUGCGGCUCCCAAAAGUCUGGGAUUGAGCCCCACUCCCACAGUUAGUAUCGAGGAAUGAGUUAGUCUAGAGAUGACACUCUUAACUCCUCACUACACUUUGGAUGUUGUACAAGAUGGAUUACAUCACUGUGUGAGAUGAGUUACCUCACUUGAACUUGAGUGAAGAGACUUGAGUAAACUUAGAUUGUACAAUAUUCUGGGUUUGGGGUAUACUGACUUGAGGUAGUGAUGGGACACCAUCUUCCCUCCCCACCCACUUGCACAUGGCUGGACCCUCCAGUGCGGAAGAUAGAGAGAAGAGAGUUGUCUCUGGACCAAUAUACCACCAGGAAGACUUUGUCUCCUGACAUCUCCACUUCACCCAUACUAAGGUGAGGAAACGGAGGCCCAAGAGGUCACACAUCUACUAAGUGGAGAAGCUGGGAUAGGAACGAGUCCUGACAGAUUCCUUGUCGUUCUUGGCAAAAAUAACCUGUAUUUCCAGUUUCUUGAGUGCACCUCUAGAAAAAUCUGUGUAUAGAGACAAGGUCUUGCUACAUUGCCCACACUGGACUCAAGCACCUGGGCUCAAGCUUUCCUUUUGCCUCAACCUCCUGAGUAGCUGGGACUAUAGGCAUGUGCCAUUGUGCCUGUAGAUCUCACAUUUAAUGUGAGAUUUACCCUCUUAACAGAUUUUUAAGUAUACAAUACAAUAUAGGCACAGUGUUGUACAGCAGAUUUCUAGAAUCAUUUAUCUUAUAUAACUGAAGGUUUAUACCUAUUGAGUAGCAACUCCCAAUUUCCCCCUUCCCCCAGCCCCUGGAAACCCUUCUGCUCUCUGUUUCCAUGAGUUUGACUGGAUACUUCAUAUAAGUGGAAUUAUACAGUAUUUGACCUUCUGUGUCUGCGUUAAUUCACUUAGGAUAAUAUCCUCCUGGUUCAUCCAUGGUGUUGCAAAUGGUUAGAUUUCCUUCCUUUUUAAGGCUGGAUAAAGGCUAACUUUUAAAGCCUGUAUUUAUCACAAACAUGGUCCCUGUGGGAGCCAGCUUCAUCUGGUGUGCAACUGAAGAACCAGAAGAGCCUUUUAGUGCCAAAGGAAACACUAGCUCUGUACAACAUUUACCGAGGGAGUGUUCAUAAUGCCUGCAAACUGGCAUUAUCAUGGGGGAUCUUUGAGGGACAUUAGGACUAUAUUAAAUUUCAGCCUUACACACUGACUCGAGAGCCCUGGGUAAGGUGCAUUCCAUGGCUUCUUGUUCACCUCCAUGCUUUUUGAAAAUUAACAAGAUAUCUUGGUUCUUCCACAUCAGCACACAGAGAUCUACUUUAUUUUUAAAAACAACUACAUGGUAUUCCAUUGCAUAAAUGUACCAGGAUUUGUUCAGAAUCUGUCCUCCAUUGAUGGAUAUUUAGGGUUUUUUUUUUUUUUUAAGAGUUUUGCUACUAUAAUUAUAAUGCUACAAUGAAUGAUGUGACUUUUUAUAAUACAUUUUGGGGAUCUUGCAUGACCAAGUGACCACAGGAGAGCAAUUAUAAUACUUUUGCUAUAUUUACUUAAAAAUAUAAAAUGUAUUUCCUUUUUUGGUUACUUUUGAAUUGAAACUGUUUUGGUUUUGAUUCCUAUAAUUUCAACUUUUCAAAAUUGAGUUUAAAAAAUAAUACUAAUUAAUUACUUUUUAAAAAACCCCACAUAUUAGCAUAGUGUCUAAAUCCAUUCAAUGGCAUUAGGACUCCAAAAGACAAUUUGUCAAAUGUCUCUACUAUUUAUUAUUUAUUCAACAAGUAUUUCUUGAGUGCAUGCCUCUAUGUGCCAGGGAUUGUAUUAAGGAUUUUAGUAGAUUUUAUAUUUUCUAGUUGUAUUAAAAUUGUACUGAAAUUUAAGACUAAAAACUAUUUGCUAGUUGCUCAUUUAUUCCAUUUAUAAUUGCUAAUUUAUUUCAUUAAGUUAACGAGGUAUUUGUAUAUCAGUGAGGUGGAGAGGAGGGGAAAGGUAAUAUAUUUGUAUUAAAAACUGCACUUAAUGUAUUUCCUACAUAGCAGUUAUAAAAGGUAGGGUUUCUUUUUUCUCUUCUCCCUCCUUCCCUCACUCUCUUUGUUCCUUAUCUUUCUGUCUUUCCAAUUUUAAUAAUUGGUAUUAUCAGUCCUUCUUUAUUCCUCUUCUUAUUUUUCCCUAGAUGCUUUUUCCUGGCUCUUAUUGCUUAUUUAGUUUUACAUAGGAACUUUAAAAUCAACUUGUCUAAUUUGAAAAUCCUACUAAUAAUUUUGGGGGUGUGAUUCACAAUAUAGUAU